UUGACCUCGGAUCAGGUAGGACUACCCGCUGAACUUAAGCAUAUCAAUAAGCGGAGGAAAAGAAACCAACAGGGAUUGCCCCAGUAACGGCGAGUGAAGCGGCAACAGCUCAGAUUUGGAAUCUGGCCCCUAGGGCCCGAGUUGUAAUCUGGAGAGGAUGUUUCUGGCGCGGCGCCUUCCGAGUUCCCUGGAACGGGACGCCGGAGAGGGUGAGAGCCCCGUACGGUUGGACGCCUAGCCUUUGUGAAGCUCCUUCGACGAGUCGAGUAGUUUGGGAAUGCUGCUCAAAAUGGGAGGUAAAUUUCUUCUAAAGCUAAAUACCGGCCAGAGACCGAUAGCGCACAAGUAGAGUGAUCGAAAGAUGAAAAGCACUUUGAAAAGAGGGUCAAACAGUACGUGAAAUUGUUGAAAGGGAAGCGCCCGUGGCCAGACUUGUACCCCGCGGACCAUCCGGCGCCCUCAGCGCCGGUGCACUCCGUGGGGCGCAGGCCAGCAUCGGUUUUCCCAGGGGGAUAAAGGCGGCGGGAACGUGGCUCCCUCGGGAGUGUUAUAGCCCGCCGCGCCAUGCCCCUGGGGGGACCGAGGACCGCGCUUCGGCAAGGAUGC
rnacentral:rRNA from 2 species